GUUCCUGUAGUUAAAUAUAUAACAGCGGCUUUUCAGGCCGCAGAUCCCAGAGAGAGGCUGGGUGGGAAUA
rnacentral:tRNA from 1 species